GGCUUGCUCAGUGUAUGGCAUAUAUACACUGCAUGGUACGAAAAGCCUUUAGCUUUCAAUUCAACGUAACCGUCGAACGAUAGCGACUGAGCAGAGGCAUUGGCAGAGAAGAAAACUAGCAGCACACUCCGAAAUCGACAACAUUCGUUGACUAAGCGUCACGUUGAAAGGACUUGAAAAGGACUUGCAGUCGCACGAACAAACCAACAGCGCCAAACGAAUCAUUACUCGUCGAUUAAUUGGUUCCUUUGGUAUACCAGUCGAAGUACAAAGUUUCACUUGACGUCGUCAGGUCAAUCCAGAAGUUUGAAACGUUGGACGUGCUAAACGAAAACAAAAACCUACCCACACAAAAAAACCAACACAAUGAAUUACUACUGCGUGCUGUUUAUAUUUUUCACAAUUUGUUCUACAAUUAUGUUCCUUGCACCAUCCACGAUGGCAAAUUAUAUUGACGUACCGCCAGAGGACGAAGUAAAUUACCCAUCAUCCUACGUAGACGAUGUGCUACAACCAGCUCAAAAACGGUCUUCACUAAUUUAUGUUUUUAGGCGUGCAUGCGUGCGCCGAGGUGGAAAUUGCGAUCACAGACCCAAUGAAUG